rnacentral:lncRNA from 1 species
CUGACCCCAGUAUUUAUUUCUUCUUAAGCUUGAUACUUAUUUUAUCCUUCUCUUUUGCCACGCUGCUAAGUUACAAGGUAAUAAACAAACCUACGCCAGUUCUCAAGCGGUGAAAGAUAAAUACAUACAUGCUUAUAUAUAUAUAUAUAUAUAUAUAUAUAUAUAUAUAUAUACAUCCGACAAGCUUCCCUGUACCAAAUUCACUCGAGGCAUUAGUCGUCCCGGGGCUAUAGAAUGACACUUGCUGAAGCUUUGGAAUUGAACUAGAAAUCAUGUGGUUGAAAAGCAAGGUUUUUAACCACACAGCCGUUCCCGCACCUAAAAUUAACGAGAAAUUUGCAUAUACUUCACCUUAAUUGUGGUGUUAGAUUCAUAUCCUGGAAUAAUACGCUAACGGCCUCGGAAACUAACUUUGAGAAACUUGCUUUCACAAAACCAGAACGAACAUACAUAACAAACUACAAUUCAGAGAUCAUAAAUGAAACAGUGAAAAUAUGUAAAAUAUUCAAGAAGUUUAAGUAUGUAUAGAGAAAUGAUAAUAAUGCUGGAGAGAAGAAAAUUGAAUUUUACAAAGGAGAUUCCUUCUCUAUUGAGAUUUGGGCACGAGCUCAGAUAAGAGGAAGGUCCAUCGACCUUAGCAGCUGUCUCCUAUUUCUCCAACACAGAAUGAUGAAACUAAAACGAAAGACAUCCACACUAACAGUGAUCCACUGAAAAGAUGUGAUAUGUACUAUGCCGUACUUUGAAGUUAUCAUCUACGAAAACAGAAAUAUCAUGUGGAAAACGUAUAAUGCAUGCAUUUCAUAAAUGGUCGAAAUAAUGGUACCCAUUGAA